rnacentral:rRNA from 1 species
CCUACGGGUGGCUGCAGUGGGGAAUAUUGCACAAUGGGGGAAACCCUGAUGCAGCAACGCCGCGUGAGCGAAGAAGGCCUUCGGGUCGUAAAGCUCUGUCCUAAGGGAAGAAGCAUGACGGUACCUUAGGAGGAAGCCCCGUCUAACUACGUGCCAGCAGCCGCGGUAAUACGUAGGGGGCGGGCGUUAACCGGAAUCACUGGGCGUAAAGGGUGCGGAGGCGGCCCGGCAAGUCAGGAGUGAAAUCCCUCGGCUCAACCGAGGUCAGCUCGUGAAACUGUAGGGCUUGAGUGCAGGAGAGGAGAGCGGAAUUCCUAGUGGAGCGGUGAAAUGCGUAGAUAUUAGGAGGAACACCAGUGGCGAAGGCGGCUCUCUGGGCUGCAACUGACGCUGAGGCACGAAAGCGUGGGGAGCGAACAGGAUUAGAUAACCCUGUAGUC